UGAGGGGAGCUGCUUCUAGUACGAGAGGACCGAAGUGGACGGACCCCUGGUGUACCAGUUGUCUCUCCAGAGGCACUGCUGGGUAGCUAUGUCCGGAAGGGAUAAGCGCUGAAAGCAUCUAAGUGCGAAGCCCACCCCAAGAUUAGAUUUCCCUUCAGGUUUCGACCUGACUAAAGGCUCCUUGAAGAUGACAAGGUUGAUAGGCCACAGGUGUAAGUGCAGCAAUGUACUCAGCCGAGUGGUACUAAUAAGCCGUGAGGCUUAACCAAUAA
rnacentral:rRNA from 1 species